AACUCAAUGUGGAGUAAGAAAAGUGUUGGAUACAUUGAAUGAUUUACUUCUUCCUUUCAUUCAGAACACAGCCGGGAAGCUAUAGACAGAAAUUGCUGUCAUAUUUCCACACAGGUAUUCAGAUUUGAUAUAAUCAGACGGGUUGAAAAAUUGUCAGAUGUCAGAGAGAGGAGGCUUCACAAAACUUAUUAGAGUUUUGUGAAAAACCUAAAAGUUAUGGUCAACAGUAGGGGUGGUAGUGGUGGGAGGUGUGUGUGUGUGGUGUUUCCCCUCUGACCCCAGUUGGGUGUCCUACAAUUUAACCCAAUUCUGACACUGUUGACGUGUCAGAUCCCAUAGGUAAACGGCUCAGUCCCUAAAAGACUGCCCUCCACUUUAUACACUAAUUGUAAGGCCAGGUUAUUCUAUUUCUAACCAACUUCCUGUAAAUCAGAGGUCCUCACGAACCCCUCCUUGUGUUUGAUGGUUUGAUUAAUUGCUAGAGCAGCUCCGAGAAACUAUUUGUAAGAUUGCCAGUUUUUUAUUUAAGGAUACAGUUCAGGAACAGCCAGAUAGAAGAGAUAUGUGGGGCAAGAUUUGGGGAAAAAUGUUAGGAACUUCCAUGCCCUACUCCAGCUCUCCCUUCUCCAAAUCCACGUGUUCACCAAUCCAGAAGCUCUCUGAAUCAAGUUCUUUGAGGUUGGUUAUGCCUCCAUUACAGAUUGGUUAAAUCACUGGUCAUGGGCAAUUGAACUCAGUGUCCAGUCUCUUUCUUUCCUGAGGUCAGGGAUGGGAUAUAGAGGGUGAUACUGAAAGUUCUAACCCUCUAAAUCACAUGAUUGGCUCUACUAGCAACCAGUCCUCAUCCUUAAGUGCUAUCCAAAUGUUACCUCAUUAGUACUAUAGGACACCUCUGUGGCAGUCAUCACUUAAGAAAUUCCAAAGGUUUUAGAUCUGCCAGAAUUAGGCGGAAGACCAAAUAUAUAUUCUUACUGUAAAUCAUCAUAUCAUACCUUCCCACUAGCAGCAGCUGGAUUUUGGUUGUUUUGUAUUAUGUCGAGUAUGAGUCUAUACUAAGGUAAAGAGCAAGACCCCUCCCUUCACUGUCCAUCAGCUUUCUCAUUACAUAAUGACUGUCCAAAAGAGGGCCCAGAAGAAAUCUGAGGAGGAGACAGCCUGAACUGGCACAAUUGUGCAAUCAUUUCCUGACAGAUUGUUCUAGGGUGUAUUACGGCAAUCCUCAUUUGCCAAGAGGGUACAGAGAAAUUUCUAGCAUUAAAAAAAUAAGUAUCACAUCAUCUGAAUUUAUUUUCUAAAGUAAACCAGCCAACAACAAAAAUCCACUUUGGCUAAACGUUUAGGUUUCAAUAGUCUAGUUGGAUAUUAGGCAGUGUUUUCAAAUACAACUUGUAUUUUUCACUUGCCUAAAAAUUCUAGACAGUGAUUCAUAGUUGCCUCACUUUUAACAGGGCCACAGAGUAGCAUAGUGGCUAAGAGCUUGGGUUUUGAGGCAGGCUGUCUAGCUUUGCAUGUUUUUCUGUCUCUUUCUAAAUGACCUUGGGGCAGUUAUUUUGUUUCUCUAAGUUUCAGUUUUCUCAUCUACGAAAUGGAAAUGGGGACAGCAAUAACGCUUACUCAGGAUGGUUUGAGAAUUAACUGAGGUCAUGAAUGUGAAGCACAGUGCCUGGCACAGAGAGUCAAGUCAGAGCCAUCUCUUAGUGUCACAAGAGACUAAUGUGCAGGGCAGUAGUACUUGGGGCAGCACACAGGUAAUACAUGUUGGCUGUUGUUUGAAAGAUUUGGAAUACGGGAUCCCUGGGUGGCGCAGCGGUUUAGCGCCUGCCUUUGGCCCAGGGCGUGAUCCUGGAGACCCAGGAUCAAAUCCCACGUCAGGCUCCCGGUGCAUGGAGCCUGCUUCUCCCUCUGCCUGUGUCUCUGCCUCUCUCUCUCUCACUGUGUGCCUAUCAUAAAUAAAUAAAAAUUAAAAAAAAAAAAAAAAA
rnacentral:lncRNA from 1 species